AGAAUUUAGCAAAGGAAACAAAAUCAAUGAAAAAUACAUAAACAGCGUUUAUUGAAUACAAAUGUUAAUUUUUUAUAUGCUUUCAUUUGUCGUUUUUAGAAUUACUGGAAGCAUACAUAUUUAUAUAGUCUUCUAACACACUCCAAAACUCAAUAAACUGUAUCAGACAAUCAAAUGGGAAACAACCUUUCUCUAUGAGCAUAACGUCAAUAUAAGGAUAGAAUUCAAAACUUUGCUGCUUGUAGGCAUCAAGAAAACACAUCUCGGUGAGAAUGGAUUUUACCAAUCUACAAAAAGAUUUUUUUGAAUUUGUUUUUUCCCCGCUUUUCUUGUAAUGAACAUUUUUGGUCACUAAAAUAGCUUGUUCUUGUUGAGAAUAUUUGUAUUUUCAAAGAUCUAAUGUAGUUUUUAAUGUACUUUAUAAGGCACCACAUCCAGCUUUAAUUUAAUAAAAGGCAAAAUUAAUUUGCCCUUUUUAGCACUUAACACGGUUCAGUAUGUAACCCUGGUUAAAGUUUAGCGUUAACAUAAAUCUUUUUAAAGAAAGGGUAAAAGCUCAUUAAUAUGUUUUACAUUUUUUGGAAAGUAAUAAUAGUGCAACAUGUGACAUAAACAUAUUUUUUGUGCUUUUGUUAUUUCGAAUGUCCUUUGGGUGAAAAUGUAUUUGUGAAAUGACAGAAUUUCAAGAAUGCUUUUGUUACUAGGCAGAUUAGAAAGAGAGUUUAAUACAUUUUUGUUACUCUUAUUUUGAUUGGAUGAUGGAGAGAGCAAAAGGAGAGAAAAGCAGAGAGAUGACGUCAUGAGGAGGAGACGAAAGACUCGCGGCAGAAAAACGUGGAUGAUUGAUCAAGAGCGCCUGUUAACAAAUUCUAGUAACUGAUAAAUAUGUUUAGAACGACCGGAAAGUGAGUUCAGAAUAACAUAUUUAUGGUUAUUAAAGUUUAGAUGCACUUCGUGGGUGUGAGCCUGCUUGUAAGCUCGAUUUAGCUAACGUAGCAUCGGACUGGACUUUGAGCCGCUAAAGCAACGACUGAAAUAUUCCAGGACUACAUGAAGAAGGCAGCAAUCGAGUGAGUGGGACACCCGCACAUUAUAGGACCGUCAGAGUUCCUCGUCGUGCUUCAUCGUUGUGCUGCAACAAGUCUGCAUCAGGACCUCGUGACAUCCUCUGAGAGCAGCUUUGCAGGGGGCAUUGAAGAUCUGGGGUGGGAUCUGCCCUUUACUACUGAAGCCAAAUGUAACUCAGAAUUUGCAGUAAUAAAAGCUGAUUUGGGACCACCCACCGUUCAGCCCCUGCCAGGUUUGUUGCCCACCCUGUAAAUUUAAUGAUCUGACCAGGGAAGUGACCCAUUGACUUCUUGACCAGCUGUGUUUUUUGAACUCAUUUCUUCAUGCUGUGUGUAAUCCCCACCCUGUAAGCCUGAUAGAAGGAGAUAUAGAUGCACACCUGGAGGCAGCUGAAACAAGCAGUUGUCAGAUAAAGAUGCAAGUAAAAAAAAGAGGAUUGCAGAAUGAUUUUAGAGACAAGACUUUACUGCUAACUGAACUACUACAAAAAGCUCAGAUAAUAUUGUCAGUACCAGCAUUAGCUGUACUGUAGCCAGAGGUUUUUAGAGCUUUACCCUGUAGGUUCAGUUGGGUUUCUGGCCAGUUUCCGUUCAGUUGUAAGUUUAAGGGUUCUGGAGUAACACAUUUAGCAUUGGUCAGGAAAAACUAAAAAAUAAAGGUGCUGCAUUUAUUGUGUAGCUCUACGUGCUUAUAGGUUCACUCCAAAAAGGUAGCUUAAAAAGGAGUAAAUUACACUAAUC